UAAAAUAUUUGGUUUAUUUUUCUUAACCUA
rnacentral:piRNA from 1 species